rnacentral:rRNA from 1 species
GACGAACGCUGGCGGCGUGCCUAAUACAUGCAAGUCGAACGCUUCUUUCCUCCCGAGUGCUUGCACUCAAUUGGAAAGAGGAGUGGCGGACGGGUGAGUAACACGUGGGUAACCUACCCAUCAGAGGGGGAUAACACUUGGAAACAGGUGCUAAUACCGCAUAACAGUUUAUGCCGCAUGGCAUAAGAGUGAAAGGCGCUUUCGGGUGUCGCUGAUGGAUGGACCCGCGGUGCAUUAGCUAGUUGGUGAGGUAACGGCUCACCAAGGCGACGAUGCAUAGCCGACCUGAGAGGGUGAUCGGCCACACUGGGACUGAGACACGGCCCAGACUCCUACGGGAGGCAGCAGUAGGGAAUCUUCGGCAAUGGACGAAAGUCUGACCGAGCAACGCCGCGUGAGUGAAGAAGGUUUUCGGAUCGUAAAACUCUGUUGUUAGAGAAGAACAAGGACGUUAGUAACUGAACGUCCCCUGACGGUAUCUAAACAGAAAGCCACGGCUAACUACGUG